rnacentral:rRNA from 1 species
UACGAAGGGGGCUAGCGUUGCUCGGAAUUACUGGGCGUAAAGCGCACGUAGGCGGAUCGUUAAGUCGGGGGUGAAAUCCUGGAGCUCAACUCCAGAACUGCCUUCGAUACUGGCGAUCUUGAGUCCGGAAGAGGUGAGUGGAACUCCUAGUGUAGAGGUGGAAUUCGUAGAUAUUAGGAAGAACACCAGUGGCGAAGGCGGCUCACUGGUCCGGUACUGACGCUGAGGUGCGAAAGCGUGGGGAGCAAACAGG